AACGAACGCUGGCGGCAUGCCUAACACAUGCAAGUCGAACGAGACCUUCGGGUCUAGUGGCGCACGGGUGCGUAACGCGUGGGAACCUGCCCUUAGGUUCGGAAUAACUCCCCGAAAGGGGUGCUAAUACCGGAUAAUGUCUUCGGACCAAAGAUUUAUCGCCUUUGGAUGGGCCCGCGUUGGAUUAGCUAGUUGGUAGGGUAAAGCCCUCCCAAGGGCCAGUUCCUAGGCUGGUCUGGGGAGGAGACCCAGCACACUGGGACUGAGACACGGCCCAGACUCCUACGGGAGGCAGCAGUGGGGAAUAUUGGACAAUGGGCGAAAGCCUGAUCCAGCAAUGCCGCGUGAGUGAUGAAGGCCUUAGGGUUGUAAAGCUCUUUUACCCGGGAUGAUAAUGACAGUACCGGGAGAAUAAGCUCCGGCUAACUCCGUG
rnacentral:rRNA from 1 species